rnacentral:rRNA from 1 species
AUUGAACGCUGGCGGCAGGCUUAACACAUGCAAGUCGAACGAGCGGCGGACGGGUGAGUAAUGUCUGGGAAACUGCCUGAUGGAGGGGGAUAACUACUGGAAACGGUAGCUAAUACCGCAUACCAUCAGAUGUGCCCAGAGGGGAUUAGCUAGUAGGUGGGGUAAUGGCUCACCUAGGAGACGAUCCCUAGCUGGUCUGAGAGGAUGACCAGCCACACUGGAACAGAGACAAGGUCGAGACUCCUACGGGAGGCAGCAGUGGGGAAUAUUGCACAAUGGGCGCAAGCCUGAUGCAGCCAUGCCGCGUGUGGGAAGAAGGCCUUCGGGUUGUAAAGCACUUUCAGCGAGGAGGGGUUACUCGCAGAAGAAGCACCGGCUAACUACGUGCCAGCAGCCGCGGUAAUAC